rnacentral:rRNA from 1 species
UACGGGGGGGGCAAGCGUUGUUCGGAAUUACUGGGCGUAAAGGGCUCGUAGGUGGCCAACUAAGUCAGACGUGAAAUCCCUCGGCUUAGCCGGGGAACUGCGUCUGAUACUGGAUGGCUUGAAUCCGGGAGAGGGAUGCGGAAUUCCAGGUGUAGCGGUGAAAUGCGUAGAUAUCUGGAGGAACACCGGUGGCGAAGGCGGCAUCCUGGACCGGCAUUGACGCUGAGGAGCGAAAGCCAGGGGAGCAAACGGG